AUGUUUCUGAAAUGAUACGAAGUGCUAUUGCUGACUUUAGAGACCAGAAUUCCUAUGAGAAGCCGAAUUGAUUCAGUUUUCUUUCCUUUUCUUUAUAUCAUGGAGGAGUUAUUGAGACAUGCAUAUAUCUCAUAAGCACUUACUUUAACUUGUAUUUUUAGCAAUUUCGUUAUUCUCAUAUGUCAGAUGCAAAGAACAGCUCUUUUUUCUGAAGUCAAAGCGUCCUCUUGUAAGAACUUUUGUUGCUUUUCUCAAUACGUGUU
rnacentral:misc_RNA from 1 species